CAAAGUGAAGAAAUUCAAUGAAGCGCGGG
rnacentral:piRNA from 2 species